CCUAAUCUCUUUGUCGUCGUUUUCAGUCUUCAUCUUCUUGCCUCCUUUUUAAAAUAUCAAAGUGCCUUCUAGGGUUUCGAAUAUCAAAGUGCCUUCUUGGGUUUCGAUUUGUCUGUUCAUCUCGUGUCUUCUACUUCUUCGUCUUCACUCUCUCUUCCUCGCAUCUUAGAGACAGUCAAGUAUGAAACGAGUGUAGAGGAAGCAAGACACUCUCUCUUACUCGCAUCCAUUUACGGUCAAGGGGAGGGGAUGAUGGUUUUGUAGCCGUUCGUUUGUAGUGGAAGAAAGAGGAUCGUGGCUUCUAUCAUCUCAAGGGAUGGAUUCUGAAUCUGUGCACACUAUGGCGCUUCUUGAAGCUCAACGUGAAUACAUGGAUAUGAAUGAUGAAGAUGCUGAAUUUGAGGAAGAUGAAGAUGCUGAAUUUGAUGUCGAUGAGGAGUUGGCAGAAGCAAACGUUCAGUGUGAAACACAAGCUACUGCAUCAACACAAGCAGCAAAACCUCAACGUAAGCGUCGAAAAACCUCUGCUGUUUGGAAAGAUUUUGAACCAGUGGGGAUAGAGGAUGAUGGAAAAGAAAGAGCUAGGUGCAUUCACUGUGAUUCAAAAUUAAUUUGUGGUAAUACUCAUGGUACAAAUCAGUUUGAUAGGUUUCAUGUUUCAAUUAUGUUUUAUAUGACAGAUUUCAGGUUUUAUUUAUUUUAUGAAGCAGAUAGGUUAUGUUCA